UACGUAGGUGGCAAGCGUUGUCCGGAAUUAUUGGGCGAAAAGCAUGCGUAGGUGGUUCGUUAAGUCUGAUGUGAAAGCCCUGGGCUCAACCUGGGAAUUGCAUUGGAUACUGGCGGGCUAGAGUGCGGUAGAGGGUAGUGGAAUUCCCGGUGUAGCAGUGAAAUGCGUAGAGAUCGGGAGGAACAUCCGUGGCGAAGGCGACUGCCUGGACCAGCACUGACACUGAGGCACGAAAGCGUGGGGAGCAAA
rnacentral:rRNA from 1 species